rnacentral:rRNA from 1 species
GCGGAGGAAAAGAAACUUAUGAGGAUUCCCCUAGUAACGGCGAGCGAACUGGGAUGUGCUCAGCAUGGUAAUCGGGCAGCCAUGCUGCCUGAAUUGUAGUCUGCAGAAGCGUCCUCAGCGACGGAUCGGGCUCAAGUCCCCUGGAAAGGGGCGCCAGGGAGGGUGAGAGCCCCGUCCGACCUGAACCCUGUCGCAACACGAGGCGCUGUCGGCGAGUCGGGUUGUUUGGGAAUGCAGCCCUAAUCGGGCGGUAAAUUUCGUCCAAGGCUAAAUACAGGCAAAGAGACCGAUAGCGAACAAGUACCGCGAGGGAAAGAUGAAAAGGACUUUGAAAAGAGAGUCAAAGAGUGCUUGAAAUUGUCGGGAGGGAAGCGGAUGGGGGCCGGCGGUGCACCUCGGUUGGAUGUGGAACGGCGGGAAGCUGGUCUACCGCUCGGCUCGAGGUGCGGACCGUUGUCGACCUUACCGAUGGCCGGAGCCUGGGUGAUUGAUGUUCGAGGAGAGACCAUCGGAACGGUUGGCAAUACUUCACACGCCUUCUAGGCGGGCCUUGCUGGCCCCUUGUGUGUUGUUUGAACUGGCCUGCGGGCUCCCCAUCCGACCCGUCUUGAAACACGGACCAAGGAGUCUGACAUGCGUGCGAGCCGAUGGGUAAGGAAGCUCGGAAGGCACAAGGAAGCUGAUGUGCGGGAUCCUCUUUUGGGGUGCACCGCAGACCGACCCAAAACUUUUGUGAAGGGUUCGAGUGAGAGCAUGCCUGUCGGGACCCGAAAGAUGGUGAACUAUGCCUGAGCGGGGCGAAGCCAGAGGAAACUCUGGUGGAGGCCCGCAGCGGUACUGACGUGCAAAUCGUUCGUCUGACUUGGGUAUAGGGGCGAAAGACUAAUCGAACCAUCUAGUAGCUGGUUCCCUCCGAAGUUUCCCUCAGGAUAGCUGGAGCCUUUAUCAGAGUUUUAUCAGGUAAAGCCAAAGAUUAGAGGCAUCGGGGGCACAAUGCCCUCGACCUAUUCUCAAACUUUAAAUAGGUAGGAUGGCCUGGCUGCUUUGAUGAGCUGUGCCGUGGAAUCGAGGGCUCCAAGUGGGCC